rnacentral:lncRNA from 1 species
CAAAUUGCCAUAACUUUGUCAUUUCUCAACGAAAUCAAGUGAUUCAAAAACGAAAGUUGUAGACCUUGAAGAGACAAAGAGAAUGGUACCUUGCACAACACCUAGUUCGCCGUGGUUUGGCCGGAAACUGCCUCGAAAGCCUCGGAGGUCGCCGGAAACUGGGUAUUUUUCAAAUGAGUAUAACUUCUUCAAUACUCAACGAAAUUGAGUGAAACAAAAAGGAAAGUUGUAUUACUUGACGAGACGAAGAGAUUGAUACCUACCUCGACUCCUAACUCGCCGGGGAUUAGCCGGAAAAAGCCUCGAAAGCUCCGGCCAAACUUUGAACUUGUCGAUCUCCGUGUUCUUACGUCCAAAAACUUCCAACGAAGCACUCCGAGCUUCCUUGGGACCUCACUAAGCUCACUAUGAGCUUGGAUUGUCCUAAAAAUCAACCAAUUCAAAGCUCAUGAACAGUACACUUUCAUGGGGAGUUUAGAAAUCUAGGUUUUCCGAAGUAAAAACUUACCUGAAAUGGAUACCAACGUGAUCGUGAAGUCCUCAGGAUUCCAAUGGUGGUCUCAAACUUGACGUUGGUAUAGAUUUAGGGUGGUUUUGGUGGUGGUCCGUGUGAGUUCGAAGGAGAGAGACAGAGAGAGUGAGAAAUCGUGAAGGAGGAGAGAGAAAGACAGUGAACGGGAAAUGAGGAGGGUUUUGAGGGAUGUGGGGAUCCCACGUGGUCCUUAUUCCAAUCUCCAAACACCAAACUUUAACAUUUUAACCUAAAAAUCUAAGUUCCAUCCUUAUUAAAUUCCAUUUUAUUUUCAAACUUAGGAACCUAGAUAAUUAGCAACCUGAGCUUCACAAAUUUAGUAUUUCUUAAGGGCAAUUUCGUCCAUUCACAGCCACGAAUAUAAUAAUUUGGAACGGGCUGUGACA